CGCACAUUGCGCCCUGUGGCAUUCCGCAGGGCAUGCCUGUUCGAACGUCAUUGUAGCCACUCAAGCCCAGCUUGGUAUUGGGGUCCGCUGUACCGGCGGCCUCUAAAAUUAGUGGCGGUGCCUGUAGGCUCUGAGCGUAGUAAAUCUUUUUCGCUACUGAGUCCUAUGGGUUCCCAGCCAGAACCCCCAUAUUCUAUAGGUUGACUUCGGAUCAGGUAGGGAUACCCGCUGAACUUAA
rnacentral:misc_RNA from 1 species